UUAGGGGCUGCGCGAAAUUGUGUGAAGAUGAAAGCGAAGUGGAGACUUUGAGAUGUCGCUGAACAGUGAGAGCUAAACCGGAUUACAAGGGACGGCUAUAUAUUUUUAUACGGUGAAAGAAACCGAUUUCGGCUUCGUCGUCUCAAGACUUUUCUACUAGAUACGAAUAUUCAAGCUUCAUUAUAUGGAAAGAGAUUGACCUGCUUUCGUAAACGUAAGACGACAUCGCACUCAAGUGCUAAAAGAUGGCUAGCGGCGCCGAGGUGAUUUGACCCACUUUCCAGAAAACAAGGGGUGUAAGAAAAGGAAACGAGGAUUCCAGCGACGGUCAGCGUAUUCCAGAAUGUGAAGAUAAAAAACGCAUUCAGUGAGGGGGAAAUAAAAAAUUCGGUUUCCUUUGAAAAGUGAAUGUGGCGUACGUGGGCCCUAGCAGGUGCGUCGCUCAACCAG